rnacentral:rRNA from 1 species
AUUGAACGCUGGCGGCAGGCUUAACACAUGCAAGUCGAACGAGUGGCGGACGGGUGAGUAAUGCUUGGGAAUCUGGCUUAUGGAGGGGGAUAACUACGGGAAACUGUAUCUAAUACCGCGUACCAUAGGAUGAGCCCAAGUGGGAUUAGGUAGUUGGUGAGGUAAAGGCUCACCAAGCCGACGAUCCCUAGCUGGUCUGAGAGGAUGACGAGCCAAACUGGGACUGCGACACGGCCCAGACUCCUACGGUAGGCAGCAGUGGGGAAUAUUGCGCAAUGGGGGCAACCUGACGCAGCCAUGCCGCGGGAAUGAAGAAGGCCUUCGGGUUGUAAAGCUCUGUUAAUCGGGAGACGGUACCGGAAUAGAAAGCCACGGCUAACUACGUGCCAGCAGCCGCGGUAAUAC